CUACGGGGUGCACCAGGUAGGGAAAUUUUACAAUGCACGAAAGUGUGAUAAAGCGAGCCAGAGUGUUUUUCUUUUAAGAAAAACUUUUAUUUGUUGUAAAAAGACAGAUGAAUAAGGACUGGGAGAGACCGGUGCCAGCCGCCGCGGUAAUACCGGCGGUCCAAGUCGCAGCCACAAUUAUUGGGUCUAAAACAUCCGUAGCUCGUUUAGUAAGUUCUUUGUGAAAUCUUAUCUCUUAAGGGUAAGGCGUGCAAGGAAUACUGCUAGACUAGAGACUGGAAGAAGUAAGAAGUACAGUUGAGGUAGUGGUAAAAUACGUUAAUCUUGACUGGACUAACAACAGCGAAGGCAUCUUACUAGUACAGAUCUGACAGUGAGGGAUGAAGGCUAGGGUCGCAAAACGGAUUAGAUACCCCAGUAGUC
rnacentral:rRNA from 1 species